GACGAACGCUGGCGGCGUGCCUAACACAUGCAAGUCAACUUGAGGGAAGGAGCAAUCUGACCUGAUGGUGGCGCAAGGGUGCGUAACGCGUAAGUAACUUGCCCCAAGGUAAGGAAUAACGUCGAGAAAUCGGCGCUAAUACCUCAAUAAUGACAGCGGAUCCGCAUGGAUAUGUUGUUAAAGGUUUACCGCCUUGGGAUAGGCUUGCGUCUGAUUAGCUAGUUGGUGUGGUAAUGGGCACACCAAGGCUACGAUCAGUAACUGGUCUGAGAGGAUGAAUCAGUCACACUGGAACUGAGACACGGUCCAGACUCCUACGGGAGGCA
rnacentral:rRNA from 1 species